AGAGCGAACGCUGGCGGCAGGCCUAACACAUGCAAGUCGAGCGCCGUAGCAAUACGGAGCGGCAGACGGGAGAGUAACACGUGGGAACGUGCCCUUUGGUUCGGAACAACCCAGGGAAACUUGGGCUAAUACCGAAUACGUCCGUAAGGAGAAAGAUUUAUCGCUGAAGGAUCGGCCCGCGUCUGAUUAGCUAGUUGGUGAGGUAACGGCUCACCAAGGCUACGAUCAGUAGCUGGUCUGAGAGGAUGAUCAGCCUCACUGGGACUGAGACACGGCCCAGACUCCUACGGGAGGCAGCAGUGGGGAAUAUUGGACAAUGGGCGCAAGCCUGAUCCAGCCAUGCCGCGUGAGUGAUGAAGGCCCUAGGGUUGUAAAGCUCUUUUGUGCGGGAAGAUAAUGACGGUACCGCAAGAAUAAGCCCGGCUAACUUCGUGCCAGCAGCCGC
rnacentral:rRNA from 1 species